rnacentral:snRNA from 1 species
AUACCUUCUCGGCCUUUUGGCUAUGAUCAAGUGUAGUAUCUGUUCUUAUCAGUGUGACAACUGAUAUGGAUCCAACUGGAUCCAAAUCUGUCACAACAAUUUUUGUUUGGGGAAGGUUUUGCUAAGAGCUUGCUCCAGCAUCCUUCAGGCGUCGCCUCGCCCUUACACAUUCGGUGUGAGCGGCGCACCCUUC